AUUGAACGCUGGCGGAAUGCUUUACACAUGCAAGUCGAGCGGCAGCGCGGCCUUCGGGCUGGCGGCGAGCGGCGAACGGGUGAGUAAUGCAUCGGAACAUGCCCAGUCGUGGGGGAUAACACUUCGAAAGAAGUGCUAAUACCGCAUACGUCCUGAGGGGGAAAGCGGGGGAUCGCAAGACCUCGCGCGAUUGGAGUGGCCGAUGUCAGAUUAGCUAGUUGGUGGGGUAAAGGCCUACCAAGGCGACGAUCUGUAGCUGGCCUGAGAGGAGGAUCAGCCACACUGGGACUGAGACACGGCCCAGACUCCUACGGGAGGCAGCAGUGGGGAAUUUUGGACAAUGGGGGCAACCCUGAUCCAGCCAUUCCGCGUGAGUGAAGAAGGCCUUCGGGUUGUAAAGCUCUUUCGGCAGGAACGAAACGGUGGGCUCUAACAUAGUCCGCUAAUGACGGUACCUGAAGAAGAAGCACCGGCUAACUACGUG
rnacentral:rRNA from 1 species